UCUUUUCCUUACUCCUCAUGCAUUCUCCUUCCCAUUUUCCCUAGACCCCGUGACAUUUUCCACAGAGGUCAAGGAAAGGUGUUUAGGAACAGACGUUAGGAGGACAUUUUUGAACUAUUCGACCGCUGCUGCUGCUGCUCAUCUGAGAACCCACCGCCAGAAUCCAUUGUUUGUGACGCGUUUAGAAAACAUCAUUGCGGACAGUGGACGACCGGAGUGUAGUUUUCAUCUAUCAUAACGGCGACAAUCAAGUUGCUCCGAUGGCUGGUAACCUCCUCAAAGUCUCCUCUCUAGCCGCGGCAGUGUUUGCCUCCUCUGGGUUUUACCUGUACAACAGACCGCUAAACCUCAAUGACCUGAGUGUCAUUCGCUUUGGACGAGCCGCAGCCACAACGGUGGUCAUCAGUUUGGACUAUCUGACGGCUUUCAAACAUGUGGAACACGACACAGAGGAGUACUGGGCACUCAGGUCCAAGGUAGGAGAACCCUUUGGCAUAGAGGUGGGGACAUUUGUCCAUAGCAGAGCAAGGUGAAAGGAGAUGUGCUGGACUGCACAAACUCCAGCUCAAACAUUAAAGAAAUUACAGAUUUCUUCAAACAUUUCGGACUUUUACUUUGAAAAAUGUCCUAAUUGAUACAUUAAAAUUGUUUGAUUGCUAUUGUAGGGGAUUUCAGAUAUGUAUGGAACACAUCUGCAUUAUUCAUUUCCUGGAACUCUUGGGGAAAUCUAUUUACAGGACUUUUUUUAACAUACAAAAGUCUGACUUAUUUUUAUAAACUCUUCCUUGGUACAGUAAACAUGUUUUAAUGUUAGCAUAAUUUAAGCUAAAUCUCAGAAAAGAUCUAUAAAGAUACAAAAUCAGUUCAUUGUUUACUUUUAUAUGUUCGUGUAUGAUUUGUCGACAUCUUAUUUUGAUAAACGGAUGUUGUUUCACGUGGUUCUUUCCGCUAACUUUGCAAAACCGGAUGUUGUCACAUAAAUCCUUCCGCUAACUUUAUCAAAACCCUCGCGCGCUCCCGAUCGAAUGCAUUUACCGUGAACAUCAGUCUAUAGAGCGUAUUCACGUGACGUCAGAAUCUCAAUCGCGCCAUCUUGGGGUCCACUUAUUAAAUGUCAGAAGAAGUUGACCUGGCUAUCGUGUCCGCUGUUUGAUUAUGUGAGAGCCCAGCAACCUCAUGUCCUUCUGCAUUACCAAAGAAAGAUUUCAGCAGUUGGAAUUGAAUAUUCGCAACGCUUUUUUACCUGAUUGUACUCGCUCAACACUUUGUGGUUAAUUCGCUAGUUACCCCUAGUUACCAGCACAUAGCCCGGUCACAUUCCUGUAAAACAGUUUUCAUUUCCGCUAUCGACCAUGGGACAUUAACAACUAUUUCUGCGUUAUACUUGUUGUAGAAAUACCACAUCAAGCGCCCCGUGUCUGGGUUCAUACUAUGAUCCGUAGUCGCACAGCUCCGCCUCCAGGACGAGUGUCUGGAUGAAGCCGCUUCCAGCUCCUUCAGGACCAGCAGUGCCUGGCUGGCUGUGCUGAGUGCUGUUCCCAUGGAGCCAGUGUUUUAUUUUACCUUGAAAUGAAUCACAGAGUAAAGGCAGACAUCGCCCGACGGAGUUGCCAUGUUCAUGGCUUCCUCCCAAGUUUCCAUCCACAGUUCCUUUUGCGCAAGUGAAAGACAUUGACUUUCGCUCGGCGAAAAAGCAAAGAGAUUAUUGACGAGAGUGUGUCAAUGGAAACGUGCCCACAACCCGAUGUGUCAACAGAAACACAUGAGAACAGUCUUAACGCUCAUACGCCGAGUGAAGCCGAAGUAGAUGCAUGACAAGUUGAAGUAAUAGCCUGUCUUGUUGAGCUGAUAAACCCAUAUUCUGAAUCAUUAGUCCCACAUCCAACAGUGAGGCACAGUACCAUAAUCACAAGGCACACCGUUUUGAACUGCAAUUGUGUCUCCUUCAGGAUAUAAUGGUCAUUUCUAAGGGAAGAGCGGCAUACAAACAAGCAAAACAAUGCCGUGGAGGGACCCCAACAUGGCCGCCAGAGUUUGUUGUGGUCACGUGAGUGAAUACGCUCUAUAGGGGCUCAGACAUGUGAGUGUCGGCUGAGUUGACCCAGUGAUUCAACUCGGGGGACAGAGACGCCGCUCGGUGCGUGAGGAUCCCCUCGUGGACCUCUCACUCUGCGGCCCUCGCCGGGCGCAUCGUCUCCGUUGCGAUGCGCAGCGAUUGAAAUGUCUGAUAGUUCUCGCAUAUGUUACGUCAUCUGAUCAGCCCUUUUGAGAACGCCGAUCAAAACCGAUAAUGGGAAUAUCGGCCGAUAUGGAUCGGCGCCGAUCAGAUCGGUGCAUCCCAAGUCUUUAGCACAGCCACACAUGUAGCAUCCGGAUGUGUUGUUUGGUUUUAGCUCUUGACUAUGAAAUAGAUGUGGCUAAUAAAGCUCACUGUCCAAUUAUGUGGGUUAUCAGUGAUGUGUAUGAACUACAAUGCAGCUUGAAGUCUCUUUUCAGAAAAAAACUGAGUAACGGCCGACUCAUGAACUGUUCCUCAAUGGGUUGACUGCAUCAGCAAGUCUGCGUUAUACACAUUUUGUAUAUAUAUAAUGUAUAUGAUAAUCUGCUCAUGGGGCAUAUCUCUCACUCCCACUGAUUCUUAAUAGCGAGAUUCUUGAUUACGCUAAUUGUAUUCAUUUAUUCACAAACCAAUGUUUUCAUAGACGGUGCAACAUAUGUUGCACUCUAAAGCCCUGUAUUUAGAGCUUGUUUAAAUAUCAAAUUGCAUUAUCGAUUAUAGUUAAAUUCGCUAGAUGGGAUCAUAUUUGUAGGGGAAAUCCCAUUAGUAAGAUGAAGGUAAUAGCAGUAAAUGUCAGCUGGUGUGCACUCGAGUGAUUUGUGCUGGCGUGUGUUAAAAGGCCACAGCUCCGUUGGGUUCACUCAGGAGACUGCUGCUGAAAGGUCAGAGACCACCUGCACCCACGAAGAGCACACAGAGAUCGCCUCUCCAGCAAGAGAGCUGCAGUGAACCUUGAAGAGCAGGGCAUGGCUGGCCUCGUGUUUGUUUGUGUGUGUGUUUGUGUGUGACGCACACACACUCGCACAGACACUCUGUGCGGCCCUGGAGCCCUGCUGGUCAAGCCUGGCUACACACACUGAUUUAGAAUGCAUGGCGUGGAUUUAAUCCAGAGAGGAGGCUCUCUUCCUAAUUAUUAGGAAGUUCUUGAGGUUAUUAUGAAGUCCUAGAGGUGAGGCAGCUCCACACUUGUUUUGGGAUUUUUUUCCUGUUUCUGUCUGAACAGAGGAGAGAGGUUUAUGUGUUUGUGCCCAGUUCUUUUCAUUUGAUGGAAGCUGUGAUAUAGAGUAUUCCGGUGUGAAGGGGCCUUUUGUCUUUCCAGAUGUCCUCUACAGUCCGGUGCUGAUGUGGCAGAUUAAAAGACAAAAGAAUGAGAGAAAAUGAUAUGCACAUAAAUAAAAGCCAAACAAGUGCAAAAACAUCAGCGAGUGCUGGGUGAUGGAGGUAGGUCCUUAUCUCUGUAUUGAUCAUGCAAUCCUAAACACCUCCCAUCUAUCUUGCCUAUUUUUCUCCCUCUCCCCCUUUCAGGGAGUUUAAGCUUCCCCACUAUUAAGUUAACAUCUCAUUAUAAGCCUUGCCAACAGAUGAUUUGGAAAUUAAAUGUAGCUUUCUUGGCUCGCAUGAAUAAUGCAUGUUGGCCCCGGCUGAAGCCUUCUGGCAAGGUUAGGAGAUGGGUGUUUGAGGGUUGUGUGCUGCAAAUAUAGAGAUUUAAAAUGCGACAAUCUAACUAUCUAAAUUCAAUAACAAGCGUGUCAAUUCGGUCUCCCAUUAAUUCAGACAGAACCCUUCCUGUCCCUUCCCAUGGGUCUCCAUUCCUGUUCAUCAUUUACAGUACAUCUCAGGGUCAUGCCAUCUGCAGAACUUCUCUGAUUGCCUCUGCAGUGGUCGGGUGUAUUAGGGAUGGACAGGAAGUGUUGUACAGGCCAGUCGUGGAUGACUUUGUGGGGUGGGCCGAUCUGUAGUCUAACUGUUG